AGGGAAUGCAGACACUGAGCAAAAAGGAGAAAGGACGCAUGGACACGGACAGCAGGGUGGUGACUGCCGGGGGGAGGGGCUAAAUGGUAAUGGAAAAAAUCCAAU